rnacentral:tRNA from 1 species
GGGGUUGUGGCUCAGUGACAGAGCGCUCACCUAGCACGUGCGAGGCCCUGGGUUCCAUCCACAGCACCACA